UUUAUCAAUAGCAGCCGAUUUUAGUCGUAUUUUCGAUGCAUUUCAGUUCAAAAUAGGCGUAAUACUAAACACACCACGGUGCCAUUGAUUUACCGCGGUGAAGUUGGUUUGACGUUGGACAUCAACAGACCUCCAGACAAGCGGUCCGUGUUCGAACAAGCGAUCCGCGUUUCGCGUUCGCUACGCGGACACAGAACGAGACCGCUCGGCACAUGAAAACGAUGGAUUACGGACAGUCAAUAAAUUAUUGGGAUUUUCAAGAAAUUAAUAAUUCAAUAGCGUCCAAACAAUGUGACCUACUCGUUCAAAACCUGCUCCAAAAUGUGUGUCUACAUGUCCUUCACAAGACACAACCAUUUAUGAGGAUAUAAAUAUGUUGCAUAUUUUUCAGUAAUAUUUUAGUAGUAAUUUUAGUCAUCUUGCAUAGUAUAAAUAUUACUGUAAUAUUUUAAUACCAUCCAAACCUAUUGGUUCAAAACCUGCUCCAAAGUCUGUCUCAUCUCACCAUCACAGUCUGGGCUUGCCUUAUGUGGGAUCUGUUUGGUUUAAUUGUGUCUUAAACCUUACUUUGUAAAGUGCCUUGAGAUAACUUUGUUGUGAUUUGGCCCUAUAUAAAUAAAAUAAAAUUGAAAAAAAAUGAAAAAAAUGACCUACUGGUCCAAAAUCUGCUCCAAAAUGUGUGUCUAAAUUUCUUGAUUAGGGCACAGCCAAUUUUAAAUAACAUUUCAAUAAUAUUUUAGUGUUAAUAUUACUUAAAUAUUCCAAUACCGUCCAAACCAUGUGACCUACUGGUUCAAAUCCUGCUCCAAAUCUCAUCUCACCAUCACAGUCUGGACUCUCUGACUUUGCUGCUUAUACAGUGGUAGCAAUUAAAAGUGUCGGCCUCCACCGUGGUUUGCUUAUGUGUCCACCGCGUCAUUUGACCCACUAAAUAACAUCGUCGUAUUAUUUAGUGCAUGGAUUGUCAAGACUACGAACCGGUGAUCGCCUGUGGCGGACGAUUAUAGUAUUUAGUAUAGUUAUGUACGUACACUGUCAGUUUUGGCAAAUUAAGAAGCUGCAUGCUUAGAACGGAGCGCGCUCCCGCAUGCAGCGUUCGAUUUGUGGCAGACAAGCUGCUACAAUUUAAAAAAGUGAACAAGGAUGAUCUAGACCAGGGGCCCGUUUCAAGAAGGAGGUUUAACAAACUCUGAGUUAAAACGAAACUCUGAGUUGAUUUACUCUGAGUUUGCAAACCUGGAGUUUUCGGUUCCAGAACAGCUGAAAAGAGUUGGUUUAAGCAACUCUGAGUUGACUGACUCAGAGUUAAGCGCGUGCACCGCGACGAUACAAAGCCCUGAUCAAUAGAGUGAAGAUAUUACGAGUCACCAUGGCAACAGGACAACAAAAGACGUCCGGAAAUGGAUAUGAUACGCCAAGCAUAUAACGACUACGAGCCUAUAAUCCGUGGAAAAAGCAACACGGCUGCAGCGGCGAAAGAGAAAGAAUUAGCUUGGAAGAAAAUAGCUCUUCGAGUCAAUGCCCAACAGAAAGAAGGCAGAGGCUAGAACAACUGGUGGAGGAGCUGCACCUCCACCUCUGACGCAUGCAGAGGAGAAGGCCCCUUAGCAUGAACACUGGAAAGCAAAGGCUGUAGGAAUUCAUCAGAACCUGUCACUCCCCAGGAUACAAGUGCAUGUGUAAAAUAUUCUGAUGGUAAUAUGUGAAUCUUCCUGUCACAACAGAAGCCCAGGAUGUUAGUGUGAAAGAACAGCAGGAGGAGGUCAGUCACAUUCUGCUGCACAGAUGCACACAGUCAGUGAUGUUCAGUAAAUGCCAGAGUUCAAUUCUGUAAGAGUAAUAAGGAACUAUUCCCAAACACAAGCUGGAGAUGAGUGUAUAGUUAAAGGUGAAUUGUAUGAAUUAUUGGAAGAAUCAUAAAAUCUAACAAUUGCCUUUGUAUUUGUAGGAAAUGAAAAAAAAAACAAAUAAAUUAUGGUUUGCAUCUAUUCAGUUUCUUUUAUUGGUGGUGGUGAUGGUUGAUUAAGACAUUAAAGCAAAUCACAUCUGACUGUCCAUCCACUCUGCAGAUUACCAUGAUGGAAUGAGUCUCCUCAGGGUCUUGUAUUUGUAGGGCAGGGUGUUGCUCCUCUCUAAUAAUUGCAAUAAUGUUGAGAACAACACAUGCCACAAUAAUGUCACAGGCCUCUCAUGUUUUACCCUGAGGUGACGUAGACACUGAAGAAGUGCUUUCAACAGGCCUAUGGUCAUUUUCACCCGGGCUCUUGUUCUGCAGGGCCACAUUAAAGUGCUGCUGGGGGCCUGCUUCAGGUUCUGGGUGAGGGGUCAGUAGUGUGGGCUGGCAUUAACCCCUAUCUCCAACAGAAAGCUGUCAAUCUCUCCUAGAAGAAAGUUUAGAUUACUUUAGUGCUGCAUAGAAGUGCUCCUGUGAGUGUGUAGUGCAUGCAUUGAAAUAAGUGUAUAGGACAUACAUGUACUUACCACAGUGCAACCUGUUACUUAGGGUUGACUCACUAUAUAUUCAUGAGUUCACGUUUAUGAUAUGUGCAGCAUCACAUAUGAUCUUGGUGAUGUAAACAAUGUGAUGUCAGUUACAGUGACCAGUAGAAAGAGUAGUUAGUCAGUGCACCUGCACAUUUAUCAGUUUAUUUUAGAUCACAGCAAGAUAUUAUUAACUGAUCAUUUUUCAGAUUAGCCUCAAUGAAACGAAUUAAAUACCAUAAAUAAAUAACUGCAAUCCUGUGAAACUCCUCUUUGAUGGCUUUAAGGAGUUUGUGUCAAGGAAAGCGCUUGAGAUCAAACUAUUCUACAAAUAGUGGCUUCACUAAUGUGCUCAGCAUCUCCAAUGUUAUAAAGAAAACUACCGUUUGCAAAAAAAACGUAACGCAACACAAAGAAUCUGUUCGGAUGUAAAAGCACGGCCUCGAUGGGUGAUGUGUUUGAUGAAUGGGUGAAUAAGAUUAUAAAUGUAUGUAUGGAGUCUCGAGAAAAACGGUACCGCUAAAAUAAAUAUGCACGGCGAUAUGACAGAAAAUUAACUGGCGUCAAAAUCCUCGCGCGGCGUAAUUUCAAUGCCGUGUGAAUUUACACAGCGUCCUCAUCUACAGGAUCCUCUAGAAACGGAAAUUUUGGUCUCUGUGCGACGGAAACAGACGGUCCGGGUCAUACACAAGGAAUCUCAGGUUUCGGUACAGAGGGAGCAGGCUGAAUCAGGUCCAGCGACAGGCAGAGUUUCGGCAACAGGAUGACAAGGUUUACAGUACCGGUAAGGAGCAGGCUAUCUCGGUGUCAGGCGGUCAGGUCGGUAUCACAAGAUCUUUUCAGGCGACAGUACCAUUCAGGAGUAGACGGGAAUCGGGAGUCAAGAAUACAAGGCAGGAUCGAGAAACAAACAGGCAGGACGAUGAAGCGCUGGAAGGUGAUGACUAGCAUACGACGAUCUGGCAACGGGCUAUGGGAACUGGUGGUGCUUAAGUAAGCAGUUGUGAGAGACGAGAUAGACGAACCACUGAACUCCUCACAGUAAGAACCAGUUUUCAUUUGGGGGAUGAUUAUAUCAACAGAUCAUAAUGUAAAGCAAAGUCAAGAUGGUACUUGGAUAGCAGAUGUUGACGUCACCAUUUAAAGAGAUGAUGAGGACCUCAGAAACACCAGAUCAAAGCAGGAAUUAACAGCUAACUGACCCGACUGAUGAAAGAAGUUGUAUGUUGAGUAGUGCAGGUCUGAAAGAAAAAAAGGACGAACAACUGAACUACUCCCAUUUCGCAGGUCAGCAAUUGGAUCUGUCUAGAUUUCCAACAAGCACUGGGAAAACAACUCAAGAUUUUCUAGUAUCAGUGUUGAACUAUGUGUCGACAAACAAAGGCCAAAUAAUUCCUCUAAAGAAACCAUCUGGUGCCAAACUGAGGAUAGAAGAUGUUGACGACACUGUUUACAGAGGUGAUAAGGACAAGAUGUAUGCAUGGAGAAACCUUUUCUGUCCUGUUCCCGUCCACAUGCAGUCCCAAGAAGCUACUUGAGGAGGGAUUAAGAUGGCCGGCAUACAAGAAAUAUGAAGUGGAUGCCUUCAGGCGCCGGUACGAGCAGGAAAGGGCUAAAAGGAUGCAGAGUCCUUUAAGGAAGAAGCUGGAAUUGACAUCUGACUCGACUGAUGAAAGAAGUUGUAUGUUGAGUGGUGCAGAGACAAAGCUGCGAUUCACCAGAAGAUUAGGAUACACAGAAUUCUUGUCUAUUCCACAGGACACUGUUUCCUCU